CUUAACACAUGCAAGUCGGACAAGAAGUGGUGUUUCCAAUGGCAGGCGGGUGAGUAACGCGUAAGAACCUACCUUGGGAGGGGAACAACAGGUGGAAACAGCUGCUAAUGCCCCGUAAUCUGAGGAGGAAAAGGAGGAACCCGCCCGAGUUGGUGAGGCAAUAGCUUACCAAGGCGAUGAUCAGCCACAAUGGGACUGAGACACGGUCCCAAGCAUUGUUGUUUCUGGUGUAUG
rfam:Citrus clementina cultivar Clemenules unplaced genomic scaffold scaffold_2, whole genome shotgun sequence.